UGCAGUCGAACGAUGAAGCCCUUCGGGGUGGAUUAGUGGCGAACGGGUGAGUAACACGUGGGCAAUCUGCCCUUCACUCUGGGACAAGCCCUGGAAACGGGGUCUAAUACCGGAUAACACCUGCCCGGGCAUCCGGGUGGGUUAAAAGCUCCGGCGGUGAAGGAUGAGCCCGCGGCCUAUCAGCUUGUUGGUGAGGUAGUGGCUCACCAAGGCGACGACGGGUAGCCGGCCUGAGAGGGCGACCGGCCACACUGGGACUGAGACACGGCCCAGACUCCUACGGGAGGCAGCAGUGGGGAAUAUUGCACAAUGGGCGAAAGCCUGAUGCAGCGACGCCGCGUGAGGGAUGACGGCCUUCGGGUUGUAAACCUCUUUCAGCAGGGAAGAAGCGAAAGUGACGGUACCUGCAGAAGAAGCGCCGGCUAACUACGUGCCAGCAGCCGCGGUAAUACGUAGGGCGCAAGCGUUGUCCGGAAUUAUUGGGCGUAAAGAGCUCGUAGGCGGCUUGUCACGUCGGGUGUGAAAGCCCGGGGCUUAACCCCGGGUCUGCAUUCGAUACGGGCUAGCUAGAGUGUGGUAGGGGAGAUCGGAAUUCCUGGUGUAGCGGUGAAAUGCGCAGAUAUCAGGAGGAACACCGGUGGCGAAGGCGGAUCUCUGGGCCAUUACUGACGCUGAGGAGCGAAAGCGUGGGGAGCGAACAGGAUUAGAUACCCUGGUAGUCCACGCCGUAAACGGUGGGAACUAGGUGUUGGCGACAUUCCACGUCGUCGGUGCCGCAGCUAACGCAUUAAGUUCCCCGCCUGGGAGUACGGCCGCAAGGCUAAACUC
rnacentral:rRNA from 1 species